rnacentral:rRNA from 1 species
AUUGAACGCUGGCGGCAGGCUAAACACAUGCAAGUCGAGCGGGGUGAGGUGCUUCGGUACUGAUCCUAGCGGCGGACGGGUGAGUAAUGCUUAGGAAUCUGCCAUUUAGUGGGGGACAACAUUCCGAAAGGGAUGCUAAUACCGCAUACGUCCUACGGGAGAAAGCAGGGGAUCUUCGGACCUUGCGCUAAAUGAUGAGCCUAAGUCGGAUUAGCUAGUUGGUGGGGUAAAGGCCUACCAAGGCGACGAUCUGUAGCGGGUCUGAGAGGAUGAUCCGCCACACUGGGACUGAGACACGGCCCAGACUUCUACGGGAGGCAGCAGUGGGGAAUAUUGGACAAUGGGCGGAAGCCUGAUCCAGCCAUGCCGCGUGUGUGAAGAAGGCCUUUUGGUUGUAAAGCACUUUAAGCGAGGAGGAGGCUACCUGGAUUAAUACUCUAGGAUAGUGGACGUUACUCGCAGAAUAAGCACCGGCUAACUCUGUGCCAGCAGCCGCAGUAAAAC